CUGAAACAAAGUGAGCAAGUUAAUAUUAAAAAAUCUAUUUCUUUCAUAUAUUUUAUUAUGUCUUCAUGAAAAAUUGGUUUCCAUAAGGUCUUCGUUAUUAUAGAUUUUAUCAAUUAUAGAAUUUAUUUCCAUAAGUUCAUGUUGCUUCUCUAAUUUGCUUUUAUGUGAAUUAUCAAUUAUGUAUGUUUUCUCUUUAAAAAGUUCCUAGGUGAUAUAACUAGUAAGCAUCUGCCUUAUUCAAAAACUGGUAACACAAAAUAAAACUACCUUUCUGCUAGUGUAUCUAGAGGCUUUCCAGCAGCAAAGAAUGUCUUUUGAUUUUGAUUCCAUUUUUCUGUAUAAAAUUCACAACCAAUAUCAGUAAUAAAAAACAUCAACGAUAAAGUAAAAAAGAGAUAUGGGUUAAUUGGUGUUCAUUUUUUAGUUUUUGCUCAUCUUUGUUUAUCUUGCUUGAUUAUUUCUGCCUGGGCAGAAAUAUGAUACGAUACAGAAAAAGAAAAAAAAUGAUUAAAGUUAGCUUUAUAUAAAACUCACAUGUUCUCUUGCUCUACUUUUUCAGCAAUUAAUAUUGCUUUCUGUCUGGACCAUCCUUUUUCCUGUGGACAUCCUUCGGGUUUAUGAAUCACACGAGUAAGAGAUGGUUUUUCUCUCACCGAUUUUCUUCUUUGAGGUUGUUUUCUGCUGUUCUUUCUUCCAAGCAUGGGAACCAUGUCAGUUCGAUUUGGCAAACAUGAAUGGCAUGGUUCGUAUCUUUCUUCACCAAGGUGUGCGCUGCCAGUUUUUUGUUGUAUUCUAGUAGGAGAUGCUAGAAUUUGAACGAUUUCAUUUUUUGUCUUCUCACAAUGGACAUGUUUAUUAGUUUUUACUGAGUUUCUAACUGUUUUCACAACAUUAUUUGUUGAAGUACUUCUCAUUUUAUCAGCAGCUGUUUCUUUCCAGGAACCAUUUCUAAUUUCAAGAUGUACAUUAGUGCCGAGGACAGAUUCAAAAGCCUUCAAGAUAUGACUCCUGAAACUCUCAGCUUUUGAUUUGUUUACGUUUGAACUUAACAUCAACUCUACAGUAUAAUCUGUUUAUAACAAAGAUUUAUUAGAUCAUUCCUAUCAUAAUGUAAGGUCGUACCAUCAAAAAUUAUAAGGAGAGUAAACGGCAUAGUUACCUGCAGAUCUUGUACCAAAGCUGAUAGAUGUGAGCAUCGCUUCUUGAUGCAUAAAAUAUUUCAGGGUAUUUAUUUGGAUAUUCUCAAUUACUGCUAUCCAGAUUUUCUCAACAUCCAUAAAUUCAUUAUUUUGAUUGCAUUGGUUUGCUUGUCUAGUUUCCGCAGAAUGAAUUGGACUCCUGAGAUUGACAUUAUCCGUGUCCUUUUCAUUUUUACAUAAAUGUUCUUGCCCGUUGGCAUUGUUCAGGGUAUCACCCUCAUUUGUGAUAUUCAUGACCAUUGGACUGUUGCUAAAACUAUUAUCUGUGGAAGAGUUUGGUAGCAUAUACUGCUCAUCUGGAGCAAGCUGGAGCAGUGCAGCU
rnacentral:lncRNA from 1 species